GAUGAAGAACGCAUCGAAAUGCGAUAAGUAAUGUGAAUUGCAGAAUUCAGUGAAUCAUCGAAUCUUUGAACGCACAUUGCGCCCGCCAGUAUUCUGGCGAGCAUGCCUGUUCGAGCGUCAUUUCAACCAUCAAGCCCCAGGCUUGUGUUGGAGCCCUGCGGCUGCCGCAGCCUCCCAAAACCAGUGGCGGGCUCGCUAUCACACCGAGUGCAGUAGUUUACUCUUCGCUCAGGGCGUGUGGCGGGUGCUAGCCGUGAAACCCCCAACUUCUCAAGGUUGACCUCGGAUCAGGUAGGAAUACCCGCUGAACUUAAGCAUAUCAAUAAGCGGAGGA
rnacentral:misc_RNA from 1 species